rnacentral:rRNA from 1 species
AUUGAACGCUGGCGGCAGGCCUAACACAUGCAAGUCGAGCGGAUGAAGGGAGCUUGCUCCUGGAUUCAGCGGCGGACGGGUGAGUAAUGCCUAGGAAUCUGCCUGGCAGUUGGGGAUAACGUCCGGAAACGGGCGCUAAUACCGCAUACGUCCUGAUGGAGAAAGUGGGGGAUCUUCGGACCUCACGCUAUCAGAUGAGCCUAGGUCGGAUUAGCUAGUUGGUGGGGUAAAGGCCUACCAAGGCGACGAUCCGUAACUGGUCUGGGAGGAUGAUCGGUCACACUGGAACUGGAACACGGUCAAGACUCCUACGGAAGGCAGAAGUGGGGAAUAUUGGAAAAGGGGGAAAGGCCGGAGGAAGACAUGCGGCGGGUGUGAAGAAGGUCUUCGGAUUGUAAAGCACUUUAAGAUGGAAGAAAGGGCAGGAAGUUAACACCGUACUGUUUUGACGUUACCAACAGAAUAAGCACCGGUAAAUUUGGG